rfam:Gloeomargarita lithophora Alchichica-D10 chromosome.
CGGGAUGUAGCGCAGCUUGGUAGCGCACUUCGUUCGGGACGAAGGGGCCGUGGGUUCGAAUCCCGCCAUCCCGA